CACGUAGGGCGCAAGCGUUGUCCGGAAUUAUUGGGCGUAAAGAGCUCGUAGGCGGUCUGUUGCGUCCGCUGUGAAAACUCGGGGCUUAACCCCGAGCCUGCAGUGGAUACGGGCAGACUAGAGGUAGGUAGGGGAGAAUGGAAUUCCCGGUGUAGCGGUGAAAUGCGCAGAUAUCGGGAGGAACACCGGUGGCGAAGGCGGUUCGCUGGGCCUUACCUGACGCUG
rnacentral:rRNA from 1 species